UAACAUGUUAGAAAUUAGGUAGUAAUGAUAUUUCUGAAACCUAAAGAACUUGGCGGUAUUUUAGAUAAUUGGAGGAACUUGUUGUUUAAUUGAAAUCCCACAACACAUCUUCCCUUAUUUUUGUUUGUAUAUCGUUGUUUUAGGACAACAUUUCAAAAUGUAGUCAAGAUUAAAGUUUUUUUUUAAAUCAAAUCAAGGUGCAGCAUAAUAGGGUUAUAAUGAGUUACAAUAUAGUUUAUGUAAACGGAAAGGAUAUGAAAAGUAAAUGGAAGGUGGAUUCAAAAGUAAUAAAAAAUUAAAAAGUUUUUAUGGAUUGUAAUUUAAAAUAUGC
rnacentral:rRNA from 1 species